rnacentral:rRNA from 1 species
UACGUAGGGUGCGAGCGUUGUCCGGAAUUAUUGGGCGUAAAGAGCUUGUAGGCGGUUUGUCGCGUCUGCUGUGAAAACCCGCAGCUCAACUGUGGGCUUGCAGCUGAUAACGGGCAGGCUUGAGUUCGGUAGGGGAGACUGGGAAUUCUGGAUGUAGCGGUGAAAUGCGCAGAGUAUCAGGAGGAACACCGGUGGCGAAGGCGGGUCUCUGGGGCCGAUGACUGACGCUGGAGGAGCGAAAGCGUGGGAGCGAACAGG